GCUGAUAAUCCAGGAAGUAAGCAAAAGCAAUUUAGAAAGGGUCAGAGGCAUUAUUUCUUAAAGUUAACAGCCUUCACUCUAAGACUGGGAUGAGACAUUGUGACAACUGUUCUUAUUGCUGACUUACACAUCUUUGGGUAAGAACUCUGCACUUAGCGAGCUUGUAUUCUUCCUUCUUUUAUUUGGCUAGUCAUUUUGAGCACACCAGCAUCCUUGGAGGCAGUCACAAAGAUCCCUCACCACGACGGACUCGAGGUUUCUGCCAUCAGAUCCCUCACUACGGACCGUAUGCUGAUGGACUUCUCUGGGCCUGCUACCUGAGGCCUGCUGCUUCCUCACAGACUUACUCUGUGGCUUCUUCCUGGACCCACCCGGUACCUGCACCCUCUCGUUGCCCAAGACCGGCCUCGCUGCUCCUGCCCUUCGGCCUCGGACCA
ensembl:lncRNA